GGGAUCCUACGGGGGGCAGCAGUGGGGAAUAUUGGGCAAUGGGCGCAAGCCUGACCCAGCAACGCCGCGUGAAGGAAGAAGGCUUUCGGGUUGUAAACUUCUUUUCUCAGGGACGAAGCAAGUGACGGUACCUGAGGAAUAAGCCACGGCUAACUACGUGCCAGCAGCCGCGGUAAUACGUAGGUGGCAAGCGUUAUCCGGAUUUACUGGGUGUAAAGGGCGUGUAGGCGGGGACGCAAGUCAGAUGUGAAAAACA
rnacentral:rRNA from 1 species